CAGUCGCCGCGGUAAUACGUAGGGUGCGAGCGUUAAUCGGAAUUACUGGGCGUAAAGCGUGCGCAGGCGGUGAUGUAAGACAGUUGUGAAAUCCCCGGGCUCAACCUGGGAACUGCAUCUGUGACUGCAUAGCUAGAGUACGGUAGAGGGGGGUGGAAUUCCGCGUGUAGCAGUGAAAUGCGUAGAUAUGCGGAGGAACACCGAUGGCGAAGGCAAUCCCCUGGACCUGUACUGACGCUCAUGCACGAAAGCGUGGGGAGCAAACAGGAUUAGAUACCCGCGUAGUCCCUGUCUCUUAUAC
rnacentral:rRNA from 1 species